rnacentral:rRNA from 1 species
AGUUCGAUCAUGGCUCAGAUUGAACGCUGGCGGGAUGCUUACACAUGUAAGUCGAACGGCAACACGGACUUCGGUCUGGUGGCGAGUGGCGAACGGGUGAGUAAUGUAUCGGAACGUGCCUAGUAGCGGGGAUAACUACGCGAAAGCGUAGCUAAUACUGCAUAUUGCUCUUUCGGGAAAGCGGGGGACCUUUCGCCUUGCAUCAUUAGAGCGGCCGAUAUCGGAUUAGCUAGUUGGUGGGGUAACGGCUCACCAAGGCGACGAUCCGUAGUUGGUUUGAGAGGACGACCAGCCACACUGGGACUGAGACACGGCCCAGACUCCUACGGAGGCAGCAGUGGGGAAUUUUGGACAAUGGGGGAAACCCCUGAUCCAGCCAUCCCGCGUGUGCGAUGAAGGCCUUCGGGUUGUAAAGCACUUUUGGCAGGAAGAAACGGCACGGGAUAAUACCCCGUGCAACUGACGGUACCUGCAGAAUAAGCACCGGCUAACUACGUGCCAGCAGCUGCGUAAUACGUAGGGUGCAAGCGUUAAUCGGAAUUACUGGGCGGGGGCGUGCGCAGGCGGUUCGGAAAAAGAAAGAUGUGAAAUCCCAGAGCUUAACUUUGGAACUGUAUUUAACUACCGAGCUAGAGUGUGUCAGAGGGAGGUGAAUUCCGCGUGUAGCAGUGAAAUGCGUAGAUAUGCGGAGGAACACCGAUGGCGAAGGCAGCCUCCUGGGAUAAGACGAUUGCCUUGCGCACGAAAGCGUGGGGAGCAAAAAGGAUUAGAUACCCUGGUAGUCCACGCCCUAAACGAUGUCAACCAGCCGUUGGGGCCUUCGGCCUUGGUAGCGCAGCUAACGCGUGGUUGACCGCCCGGGGGAGUACGGUCGCAAAGAUUAAAACUCAAAGGAAUUGACGGGGACCCGCACAAGCGGUGGAUGAUGUGGAUUAAUUCGAUGCAACGCGAAAACCUUACCUACCCUUGACAUGUCUGAACUUCUGAAGAGAUUUGGGGAGGCCUGCAAGAGAACCGGAACAGGUGCUGCAUGGCUGUCGUCAGCUCGUGUCGUGAGAUGUUGGUUAAGUCCCGGCAACGAGCGCAACCCUUGUCAUUAGUUGCGCCAUGAAAGGGCACUCUAAUGAGACUGCCGGUGACAAACCGAGGAAGGUGGGGAUGACGUCAAGUCCUCAUGGCUCCUAUGGGUAGGGCUUCACACGUCAUACAAUGGUCGGGACAGAGGGUCGCCAACCCGCGAGGAGCUAAUCCUAGAAACCCGAUCGUAGUCCGGAUCGCAGUCUGCAACCCGAUCGCGUGGGAAGUCGGGAAUCGCCAGUAAACGUGGAUCAGCAUGUCGCGUGAAUACGUUCCUGGGUCUUGGCCACACCGCCCGUCACACCAUGGGAGUGGUUUACCGAAGAAGUAGUUAGCCUAACCAAAAGGGGAGUGUGGCGAUUACCACGGUAGAUUCUGGCACACUGGGGUGAAGUCGGAAUAAGGUAA